rnacentral:rRNA from 1 species
GACGUAGGGCGCGAGCGUUGUCCGGAUUUAUUGGGCGUAAAGAGCUCGUAGGCGGCUUGUUGCGUCGGCUGUGAAAUCCCACGGCUCAACCGUGGAACUGCUUGGUAUACUGCGGGUCUUGAGCCACCUAGGGGCAAGCGGAACAAGCGGUGGAGCGGUGAAAUGCGUAGAUAUCGCUUGGAACGCCAAUGGUGAAAACAGCUUGCUGGGGGUGUGCUGACGCUGAGACACGAAAGCCAGGGGAGCAAACGGG